GACGAACGCUGGCGGCGUGCUUAACACAUGCAAGUCGAACGGAAAGGCCCUGCUUUUGUGGGGUGCUCGAGUGGCGAACGGGUGAGUAACACGUGAGUAACCUGCCCUUGACUUUGGGAUAACUUCAGGAAACUGGGGCUAAUACCGGAUAGGAGCUCCUGCUGCAUGGUGGGGGUUGGAAAGUUUCGGCGGUUGGGGAUGGACUCGCGGCUUAUCAGCUUGUUGGUGGGGUAGUGGCUUACCAAGGCUUUGACGGGUAGCCGGCCUGAGAGGGUGACCGGCCACAUGGGGACUGAGAUACGGCCCAGACUCCUACGGGAGGCAGCAGGGGGGAAUAUUGCACAAUGGGGGGAAGCCUGAUGCAGAAACGCCGCGUGCGGGAUGACGGCCUUCGGGUUGUAAACCGCUUUCGCCUGUGACGAAGCGUGAGUGACGGUAAUGGGUAAAGAAGCACCGGCUAACUACGUG
rnacentral:rRNA from 1 species